GACGAACGCUGGCGGCGCGCUUAACACAUGCAAGUCGAACGGAAAGACCCUGCUUUUGUGGGGUGCUCGAGUGGCGAACGGGUGAGUAACACGUGAGUAACCUGCCCUUGACUUUGGGAUAACUUCAGGAAACUGGGGCUAAUACCGGAUAGGAGCUCCUGCUGCAUGGUGGGGGUUGGAAAGUUUCGGCGGUUGGGGAUGGACUCGCGGCUUAUCAGCUUGUUGGUGGGGUAGUGGCUUACCAAGGCUUUGACGGGUAGCCGGCCUGAGAGGGUGACCGGCCACAUUGGGACUGAGAUACGGCCCAGACUCCUACGGGAGGCAGCAGUGGGGAAUAUUGCACAAUGGGCGGAAGCCUGAUGCAGCAACGCCGCGUGCGGGAUGACGGCCUUCGGGUUGUAAACCGCUUUCGCCUGUGACGAAGCGUGAGUGACGGUAAUGGGUAAAGAAGCACCGGCUAACUACGUG
rnacentral:rRNA from 1 species